rnacentral:rRNA from 1 species
AUACAAAGAGAAGCGACCUCGCGAGAGCAAGCGGACCUCAUAAAGUGCGUCGUAGUCCGGAUUGGAGUCUGCAACUCGACUCCAUGAAGUCGGAAUCGCUAGUAAUCGUGGAUCAGAAUGCCACGGUGAAUACGUUCCCGGGCCUUGUACACACCGCCCGUCACACCAUGGGAGUGGGUUGCAAAAGAAGUAGGUAGCUUAACCUUCGGGAGGGCGCUUACCACUUUGUGAUUCAUGACUGGGGUGAAGUCGUAACAAGGUAACCGUAGGGGAACCUGCGGUUGGAUCACCUCCUUACCUUAAAGAA